AGUCGCCAAAUAGCAGAAAGCCAGGGCUCCGCCUGCCUCACUCUCUACGUCUCGAGGAGGGGCGGGAGGGAAAUGGCGGCCGCCAGGAGAGCCGGGGCUGGGGGCUGAAGGCGGGGUGCCGUGAGGGGUGGGGUCGGUGCGCCCCGGGCUCUGAGGAGGUGGGGGUCGCCGCAUCCAUUUCCCUCAGCUCUGGGAAGGGUGGCUCUGAAGGGACCUCCCAGCUGGGGUCUCAUAACGCUUAGGUUUAUUUAUUUUUUCUUUUUGAGCCGGGCAGCAAAAGUUUAGGGUAGAUCUGCUGUUCAUGGUGAAAAUCAUUUUUGGGUUCUCCUGCAUCAGGUCAUGGAGGAAGGAACAAACCACUGUACCACUGAAGCAUUUGAGGAAGAACAGAGCAGGAGGAGGAAGAAGCUCAGCCCAGUGUUUACAGACUAGCGUGGGAGGUUUUUGAGAUGUAAAGUAACAAGAGUAAGUUGUUGCUUUUUUUGAGGUCUUUCAGGAGUAUAUCCUGAAGGAAGAAGGGUGGGAGGAGGGAAA